AUUGAACGCUGGCGGCAGGCCUAACACAUGCAAGUCGAGCGGAGCGGCGGACGGGUGCGUAAUGGCUAGGAAUCUGACUGGUAGUGGGGGCUGACGUCCGGAAACGGGCGCUAAUCCCGCAUACUAUCGGAUGAGCAUAGGCCGGAGUAGCUAGUGGGUGUGGUAAAGGCCUACCAAGGCGACGAUCCGUAACUGUACUGGGAGGAUGAUCAUUCACACGGGAACUGAGAAACGGUCCAGACUCCUACGGGAGGCAGCAGUGGGGAAUAUUGGAAAAUGGGCGAAAGCCUGAUCCAGCCAUGCCGCGUGUGUGAAGAAGGUCUUCGGAUUGUAAAGCACUUUAAGUUGGGAGGCGUUACCAACAGAAUAAGCACCGGCUAACUUCGUGCCAGCAGCCGCGGUAAUAC
rnacentral:rRNA from 1 species